AGUUUACGUGUAGGUGCCUGCUGGAGCGGACAGGCUGGGAGCUGUGUGUGAGUGCAGGGAAGCUGCUCUGCUGAACAGGCGAUGGGUCUGAAGAUUGUCUGGAGGCAUGGCUGUCUGUACAAGAAGUCCGCGGAGGAAUAGAAACUAACUUUUGAAGAAAACACGGAAUAAAAGGGGGAAAGAAAGAAGAGCAGAAGCCCAAAGCACGGUCCACAGUCCAGCGUCGGCGACCAGGUGGACCACCUGUCUCUGGCCUCCCUGGAGUCGUUGGACACCAUGUCUGAGGCCGACGCGCCCUCUGCAUUCACCCGCGGCAGCCGGAUUCGUGCAAGCCUGCCUGUGGUGCGGUCAACCAACCAGACAAAGGACCGCUCUCUAGGUGUGCUGUAUCUGCAGUACGGAGACGAUACCAAACAGAUCCGCAUGCCUAAUGAGAUCACCAGCAUCGACACUGUCAGAGCUCUGUUUGUUAGUGCCUUCCCGCAGAUGCUCACCAUGAAGAUGCUCGAGUCUCCCAGCGUGGCCGUCUACGUCAAAGACGACAUGAGGAAUAUGUACUACGAACUCACUGAUGUCAGGAGCAUCACAGACCACUCCUGCCUGAAGGUCUACCACAAAGACCCAGCACAAGCGUUCAGCCAUGGACCAAGACCUGCUAACGGCGAUGCCAGGAUGCACAGUGAGAUGGUAAAUGCUGCUCGUGAUGGCCCGCACCCUCUCAGACAACCCCCCAUGGGUCCCCCCCCACACCCUAUGCAAGGAGCAAUACCCCCAUCUCCUCACUCCAUGCCCCCAUCCCCCUCCAGAAUCCCAUUUGGCCCACGGCAGGGCUCUUUACCUGCCAACUCCACUAUCCCAAGGGAACGGCUGGCUAAUGCCAACCCUCCGGCACGCUCCAUCUCGCCGUGUCCCAGUGCCAUUCUAGAGAGGCGGGACGUCAAACCCGAUGAGGACAUGGGGGGUAAAAGCCACAGUCUAUCCAGGGGAAAUGAGGGCUUGUAUGCAGACCCUUACUUGCUCCAAGAGGGAAGGAUGAACAUGGCUGCCCACGGACCACAUCCCAAUCCUGGGCUUGAUGGACCAGAACACAUGGGGGGAUUUCAUCGUGCCUCCAUCCGCUCCACAAGCUCUUACGGAGGUCCCAGCCCCACAGACAGUAUUGAUCACCCCUCACUUUACAGGCAGAAGUCUAGGAACAGCCAGUUGCCUACUUUGGGCUCCAAGACACCUCCCCCAUCCCCUCACCGCAUGGCUGAGGUUCGCAUGAUUGACAUCCAUGGUGGGCCUCCUCAUGGCCUUCCACCUCAUGGUGUGCCCAUGGAGAGAAGCUCACCUGUGCGCCAGUCCUUCAGGAAGGAGGAAAUGACAGGGACCAAGCCGAGGAGCAACAUGGGAUCGCCUAUAGUUGCCGAGCUCCAGGGUCACCUCCAGGGUCCCAUACCGCCCGCUGGCGACCAUCAGACACGUGAGAGACCACCGAAGACGUCAUCUCCAGCCCACAGCGCCCAUAGCUCAGGCGGUUCCCCCAUCAUGGCUCCUAAGAGGAGUGCACCACCAUCAGACAAGGGCUCAGUUCCUCUCAAAGCCAACCUUCUGCAGUUCAGGAAGAAUGUUUCCGACCUCAGGAUGCAGCUCCAUCAGAUGAGACAGCAGCAGCUCCAGAACCAGGAGGCGUUACGGAUCCAGCUGAAGCGGGCUGAGCAGGAAAUCAGUGUGAAACUUGCAGAGGCUAUGCGAGGUCUAGAGGACCCUGUUCAGAGGCAGAGAGCUUUGGUAGAAGAGGACAGGCACAAGUACUUGGGUCUGGAGGAGUGUGUUCUCACACAGCUCAGCGAUCUGGAGCAGUAUGUAGGCUCUCUGCAGAAAGAGUCGACAGCAGCACAGAGAGUAGUGACCCUGAAGGACGUGGAGGAGGGAGCAGUGACUCUGAGGAAGGUUGGAGAAUCUCUGGCCGGGCUGAAAGGAGAGUUCCCGGCCCUACAAACCAGAAUGCGGGCUGUGCUCAGGGUGGAAGUGGAAGCAGUCAAGUUCCUGAAGGAGGAGCCUCACAAGCUGGACAGCAUGCUGAAAAGGGUCAAGAGCCUGACAGACAUGCUCAGCGGUCUGAGAAGAGCUGCCUCUGAGAGCCUUCAUAAAGGACAUGAUUCAUCUGCUAAUGCCCCGGUGGAUAACAGCCCUUCAGCAGCAGCUGCUGCAGCAGCCCCUGUAGAAACUCCCCCAGCAUCAGCCCAGCCUGGCCCCACAUCAGCCACGCCAGAGCCCCAGAGCUCCACCAUCAGAUCAGAGGUGAUGCCCUCCUCUCCAGUGGUCAUCCACCAUGUCCAGAGCUCCCCGGUCCACAUGCAGCAGUCCCAGCAGUCUGCGGCCUUGACAGCUCAGCCCAGUCCUCCGCUCACCCCGAGUCCCAUCCCGGGCAAGAGUCAAGGCCGUGAAUCACCAAAGGGGGCAGGCUCAGAUCCACCAAGCCCUGCACGUCUGAAGAAGACGCAUGGGAACUCGUCGAAUAGCAGCAAUGGCACUGCCAGCCAGGGUCUUGUUAUAGAGGAGCUGCAGAACAGCAAGGACAAGAGCAAAAACAGAGCUAUAUCCAUAGAGGCAGCAGAAAAGGAAUGGGAGGAGAGGAGGAUGAACAUGGGUCAUUAUGAUGGGAGGGAGUUUGAGAAGAUACUGCAGGAGGCCCAGGCCAACAUGAUGAAGGGCAUACCCAGUCUAGAGGUGGAAGAAAACCCUGCAGUGCCCCCUGUGGCCACUGGAGAGCAACCAGACAUCAAAAAUAACCCUGUAGAGCCACAGCCAGAAGAGGCCCAGCCUGAGUCUCCCGCUGACAAAGCAGUCAAGAAGGGGCCUGAGAAACUCCCGAAGCCUGUGCUGGAGAAACCUGCCAAACCUGCACUGGAGAGACCCUCCAAGACUGCCACCAAACCAGCUCCCACUGACAGUUUGAACAAACAGGGGUCUGAAAAAGCCAGCAAGUCCCCACCACCUCCUCCACCAAGGAAGACCUUUAACAGCUCAAGCUCAGGCAUGACCACCACACGCUCUGGUGAGGUGGUCUACACAAACAGGAAGGAGUCCGUAUCGGCUCAGGAGGUUGAGGAAGAAGCUCCACCUCCCUCUCCUCAAUCCAAGCCCGCCAAGUUUCCCCCAGAAACCAAGCCGAAGCCAGCCACCCCUCCACCUGUUACUGCUUCUGCGACCAGAGAAGAGGAGGAUGAAGGGGACAAGAUCAUGGCAGAGCUUCAGGUUUUCCAGAAGUGCACAGUUAAGGAUGUAGGGGUGAAAAAUUUGGUAGAACCCACCACUCGAAUUGAGCCACAAAUCAGAGAGCUCAGACCCGGGGCCUUAGUGCCCCUCAAAGAGAAAAAGCAGAGCUCAGAGCCCAGUCGUGAGGAUAAAGAUCCAGACACAGAUGAAAAUGGGAAUACUCCUCUCAGACAGAGCCAGGGGGUCAUUUAUUACGUGACUGGUCAGAUCCCCAAAGAGCAGCCACCUUCAUCUGGAACAGAGGAAACCCCCGAACACAGAGAACCCACACAGCCUCCAUCACAGGUGUCAAAUGUCAAUGUUAAUGACGAUUCUUCAAGCCAGCAGCAGCAGCAGCAGCAGGAGCCACCACUGUCUCCACCACCUAAAUCCCCUGUAACACCACCGCCUAUAUCCCCCAAACCUGUGGGACUUAAAGGAUUCAAACUUCCAAGGAAACAAGUUAAACGUUCUGAGUCCUUGAAGACCAGCACAGAAAUGGAGAAGGGGAAAAUCCUGAACAAAAUUAAUACAGAAAAGAAAAUUAAAGCUGUCCAGCAAAAUGUUUCUACUAUUAAAAAUUCAGCACCUGAGCCUGUGGUGACCACGACAACAACGACCGUUAAGGAGUCGCGUAAAAGUUCUGUUGCGCCACCAAAUCUGCCUCCUAGUGAGGAGAGUUAUCCAAAUAAAGAUAACAUUUUCGAGGAUAAUGAUGAGGCUAGUCUUAGUCCUGACCUACCAGGAGAAGAGCCUCCUCCACCUCCUGACAACAUAGCGUUUAUGAUCACCAACACUAAAGUUCAGGCUCUGUCUUGUGGCGAGUACCAGGAACUGGUCAAUGCUAAGAGAGGAAGCGUCCAAACUGUUACUGUGGGUAAUGCGUCAAAUAGGGGAAACAACACAGAGGAUUUCACUGAACAACAGGAUAAUGGCUUCAACAAAAAGCCAGUCAUCAUCAUUUUUGACGAACCCAUGGACAUCCGCUCUGCCUACAAGCGCCUGUCCACCAUCUUUGAAUGUGAAGAGGAACUGGACAGGAUGCUGGCAGCAGAGCGCAUCGAUGAGGAAAGCGAAGAGUCAGACACGGAAAGGAGCAGUGGGCUGCAUGUUAAAUCUGAAGGGGAUGAAGUUGUUGAUGGCAAAAAGAGCAUCUCUUCACGGGGUAAUGUGGACCGUAUUAGCUUGUCAUCUUCGUCUUCAUCGUCAAUCUCUGAGCUGACUGAUGGUGUGCAAGAGUCAAAUGGUGACGCCAAGCAGGAUGGUAAGAAGAAGUUCAAGUUUAAGUUCCCCAAGAAACAGCUGGCGGCGCUGACCCAGGCUAUCCGGACUGGCACCAAGUCAGGCAAGAAGACUUUACAGGUGGUUGUGUACGAAGACGAGGAGGAGAGUGAUGGCACUGUCAGGCAACACAAAGAGGCGAAGAGAUUUGAGAUCGUGCGAUCAAAGUCUUUAGCAGAACCUCCCUCGGAAACAGGCUCGACAGCAUCGAAGAAGCAGAACCCCGACUCCAUCGGCAGGACCAAUGAGAUCCGAAAGAACACCUAUAAAACUCUAGACAGCCUGGAGCAGACCAUCAAGCAGCUGGAGACCACCAUCAGUGAGAUGGGACCCUGCUCCCCUGGGGAGCCAGCCUCCGUGGAGGAAGCUAAAACAGGCAAUGGGAAAAGUUCAGAAGGAGUGGGGCUGAAGAGGUCCUCCUCUCUCCCUACAUCCAGAGGGUCAGGCCCUAAGGUACCAAGCAAAAAUUCAUUGCAGAAGAAGACUAAACCUCAGCUUCUCCCUCGCCCUGUAGUCCUCCCUACUACCACCACCACCACCACCACCACCACCACCACUAUUCCCAGUGCCCCCAGCACCGUACAGCAGGUCUCUCUCUAGCUCUUGUUGCCCUGGGAGGCUUUGGGUCCUUCUUUUUUCAGUCUACCUUCACUUCAACCCUAACCACCAAAAUUACCAAAUCAUUAAUCCACUCCACAGGUGCUUGGAAAUGUUUGAAAUGGUGUUUCUCCCUCUGUGAAAUCAUGGUGACAUGAUUGGGGAUCGGCAUUUUAUUGGGGUUCCUGGCUACCACAUUUCUCCUUAAGUUCACUGCUAAAAACUGAGGUUUUCAGCAAGUGGCAAGCUGAUCAUCAAAGACACACUCAUGAUGUCUAAACUGAUACCUUCCUUACCCUUGAAUGCAUGUACUACUGUGUAUUGACUUAAAGGUUAUGGUCUCACUGGGUGCAUGAUCUUUCACUGGUGUUGAUUUUGAGGUUUUGAAUGAAGUUCUCUGUAAGUGCCUUGAUUUUUCAUACUUCCUAUGUGGUGUGUUUUUUUCUUUCUUUUGUUUUAUUUCUUGUUCUGUUUUUCGUUUGGAUCCCCUUGCAGAACACCAGUGUCGCUUCCCCUACUAGUCGGAUGCCCGUCCCUUUGUCUACGAAGUCCAGGCAGUCGCCGAGUACAACAGACAAAGCAGGAAAACCGCAAAAACUGCAGGACGCUCAGAGGCAGUUCCGACAGGCUAACGGAAGUGCUAAAAGAGUGGGAGGGGAUCAUAAAACUACUUCCCCUACUAUACCCAUCUCUAAAAUCCCUGCUUUUUAUCCUAGCUCUACUAAAGGCAGCUCCCAGUGUGCACAAAACUCAGAAGCUACUAAUCCCAUUAACCCAUCCUCCUCCUCUUCCUCCUCCUCCUCCUCCUCCUCCUCCUCUUCCCCCGUGACAAAGUCCUCUAUCCUGUCCUCUCACAGUCCUCGUUCUGGUUCCCUUCCCUCCUCCCACAUCCCCUCCCUGUCUAACGGAUCCCUCAAACUCCCCGCACCCUCACAGCACACAGGUAAAGCUCUCUCGUUCUCCUCGCAGACUCAGAAUGGUCGAGUGCACUCCUCCUCCACCUCUUCAUUCUCCUCCUCCUCCUCCUCCUCCUCCUCCUCCCCCUCCCCUCUGUCGCCCACACCUUUGGGCCCAGGCGGAAAGAGCAUCCGCACCAUACACACCCCCAGCUUCACCAGCUACAGGUCCCACAACGGCAGCAGCGGCAAAUCCUGCAUCCCAACAGCCACAGCAGCUAAGGACGCUACCUAGCUCCAAUAUGGCCGCUCAGGCCUUACCCAGUAGCAGGUAGACCAGGUCAUGUUCCAUGUUGUAAACUCUUGGCUUGUUGUUUAUUUUGUCUGUGUGGUUUUUUUUGUAAGUAUUACACAAUGCACUCUCCUAAAUCAUGUUUUCUUUGACACUGGCAUCUUCACACCAAUGCUUCUAUCUCCUUUAAGUUGCAUUUCCCCAACUUUGAAAACGACAUACUUGGAUUCUGCUUCUUUCUCGAAGGUGUACCAGAUGUUUCUGAUAAAAUAUUUUGUAAUGGAACUAAAAAAUAUUUAGUUUUACCACUUUGUAGUUGAAGUGGAAGUGCUCUCAUGGUGUUGAAAAUCUAUUUUUCUUGCUGUAACUAUGAAUAUAGAGAAUAUAUAGAGUUGAUGUACAAUCGCAACAUACCUUGUAAAAAGUUUGUUUUAUUUUUCAAACCAGAGAUUGAAUAACAAUAGUAUAUUUAAUCUUCUAUAUUUCUUAUGUUGCCAGACAUCCAACAAAACCCUUGUAAAUGCCUUUUCUGAAUGUAUACAAAAUGUAUACAGACAUUUUAAAGUUAAACUCAUUGUUAACCUCUGUUUUCUAAGAGUAUUUUCUCAUUUUUGACCAUAUGAACUGCCAAUUUCUUUUACAGAUGUGGUUUCAUGAGUAAUACCAGUUUUCUUUUUAGUGUGCCUAUUUGCCAAAGUUGUUGUACAAUGACUCACUUCAGGCUUAACCCAGUCACAAGAUGUAGGGGAAUUAACAUGCACUCUCUGGACAUGGUGUUCGUGGCUGAAGUGGAGUGACCUCAGUGUUCGUACUGCUGGUCUCAAUUUAAGUUAACAUGUCUUGUUGUCUAAAUGUAAACUGUACUAAAAGCAAAGUGAUGAAUCAGUUCUACCACGUGUACAUAGAUGCUUCUACUAAGAAAAUGAGUAGUUUUUUUUAACAUACCAAAGUUUAUUUGUAUGCAUGCCUUUCAAAUACUUUUAGGAGAGUGGUGUAAAAGAAUGAUGUUUGCACAGAUAGAUUUUGUAAAUAUCUGGUUUUCUCUCAUUUUGUAAAGCUUUAAAUCAUACUAUAACAGAGCAGUGUGCUAAAGACAAAACUGUGUUGGAGUAGCAAAAAAUAAAGACUUGCAUGCUUGUAAUG